AGUGACAUUCUCAGGGGUGCAGCGUUUGAGGGCAAGCCAGGGACAAGUUAUUGCAUCCUGCAUCUUACAAGGAAGAAAGAGGCACAGCAUUGAUGCACCUCUGUGUUUUGGAGUCAGCAUGCACCGCACUAGAGGAUACCUCUCUGACCCCUUUAUUGGAGGAGUUGGUGAACAGCAGGAUGGAUGGGAUGUCAGUCAGCCGUGCCCCUGGCUACCCCUGUGCUUGAACAGUGGACUGUGAGUGGCGGCGUCAUGCAGAAGGAGCACAGGGUCCCAGGCCAGCAUCACUAUCCAGGAGCUUCAGGCAUGCUCCGUGUACCAACAUGGGAUCACGAAUCACAUCGCCUCAGGCCAAGAAAGCCAUUUUAUAGCGAAAGAGCCUUAGGAUCUGCUGGAUUAGAGCCUGUUUCCCAGGUAGGAACGCUUCCACGAGGGCACUCCUGCUGGUUGCAGGAAGGAUACCUCUGCUGAGCCUGAAUCUGCAAAGACCACCAGGUUACUCUCAGCUCCUCAUACUGGUGGACCAGCAGGCCACAAAGGAGGGGAUACUUGAUCCUGAUAAACG